AGGACGAACGCUGGCGGCGCGCUUAACACAUGCAAGUCGAGCGAGAUCCGGUCCUUCGGGACUGGGGAAAGCGGCGAACGGGUGAGUAACACGUGGGUAAUCAACCCCUGGCACCGGGAUAGCCCGAGGAAACUCGGAUUAAUACCGGAUGGCCCAACAGCUCUUCGGGGCGGUUGGGAAAGGUAGCUUCGGCCUCCGGCCAAGGACGAGCCCGCGGCGGAUUAGCUUGUUGGUGGGGUAACGGCCUACCAAGGCGACGAUCCGUAGCUGGUCUGAGAGGACGAUCAGCCACACUGGGACUGAGACACGGCCCAGACUCCUACGGGAGGCAGCAGUGGGGAACCUUGCACAAUGGGCGAAAGCCUGAUGCAGCGACGCCGCGUGAGGGAAGAAGGCUUUCGGGUUGUAAACCUCUUUCGACAGGGACGAAGCGCAAGUGACGGUACCUGGAGAAGAAGCGCCGGCCAACUACGUGCCAGCAGCCGC
rnacentral:rRNA from 1 species